GAGGGACCGCGAUCGGAAGAAGUACUGUCGGUUUCAUUGUGAUCAUGGUCACGAUACCGAACAAUGCAUCUGGCUUAAGAAUGAGAUAAAGACCCUGAUUCGAUGAGGCUACCUCAAAAAAUAUCGGAGGGACCUACCGACUCAACCUCCUGCCGAUCGAUGACUCCAGCCGACUGAGGAAGCUGUGAAUAACCAGCCAACUGCGGGAGUCAUCAACAUGAUUUUUAGAUGGC
rnacentral:lncRNA from 1 species